rnacentral:lncRNA from 1 species
UACUUGUCACACCCAGUUUUAAAGAACAAAACCAGGCUAGCCAUAUAUGUGCCCAGGAAGUCCACACAUACAACAACAGAAGCAAUAAUAUCAAAAACAAUGUUAUAUAGCGGAAACAUACUUAUAAUUAACACUUACAUCAGAUAAUCGUAACACAAUAACUAAUCUUCAGGCUCAAUCUUCACAGGGACGGCUAACUGGAGGUAACAUAUGCCUAGCACUUCUUGUAUUCUGAGAACAUCCUUCAUGAUUCCAUCGCUCUUCUGAUCAACUCUUACUAGUAAACUGGAGUGGUGGGAAAUAGCAAGAGUGAGCACAUAUCGUACUCAACAAGUAUAACCAGGGGUUCAUGAGGCUCAAAUAGUUGACACUGGUUUGAUUGCAUUUAGCUUUUAAUAGUGGAUAGCAUGUUCAUAAUUAAAUAGCAAAUGUCAAGGUAGCAUAAAUAAUCCAAUAAUCACAUGAUCAAUUGUAAGCAUAAUUAACUCAUAGCAUAAAUGAUAAUCAAAUGAUCAUAAUAAUAUAAUGAGCUCAUCAUCUUAAUGUAGAUGUCCCCAAGGCUGCUCCUGACCGUGAGCUCGACUAGUAUACUAGUUUUAAACACUCUGCAGAGGUUAUACAUCUUUACCCAUGAGUCAUGAUUUACCCUUUCGCCCGAGGUGAUCAGCCUCUUAACCCACUACCAAGGAAGGUCGGCAGGGAUCACUAUGAAGCCGUUCAAAAGUUCGUCUAACAUGUUAGGGCCGCAAGGUUUCCUUUGCGCGCAGAUAUAGAUACCCCUUUCAAAUGGCACAAUGACGCGCAGCCUAUACACAUAAGGACAGGGGCUCGCACUAUACCCAAAACGGUUCAGCCCCUCCGCCCUUUCGGGUAACCUCUAACAAGCUAGAAAAGGUCUUCAUACUGAGCUAAAGCCAGAGCCAUUAUAGCCCUCAUGGUUGCACUGUUAUCCCGGGUGAUCACGUACAGACAAGAUCUCAUACAGUUAUUUGUCAUAUUCUUUUAUGUUCAUUGCACAGCUAUUAAUCAUCUUACAAGAUCAUGGAUUAUAUCAAGCACUAGCACAACUACACCAAAUGCAUAUCAAGUAGGUAGCAAGGAAUCCAGGUAACAAUCAUCUAUGAUUUUGCUAAGGUCGACAAGGUGAAAGCAUACAUAUGAUAUAUAUGUGUAUUUAUAAGUGAAUAGAUAACAAGGAUGAUCCCAAGUUAUACUUGCCUUAAUCCAAUUGCUCAAUUCUCACACUGUUAGCUUUCGGUCAUCAUCUUCUGAUCUUCAAUGCCCACAAACAGUUCUCAUCUACUCGUUGCAAGCACCACACACAGACAAACAUACAAACAACAAAUAAAAGCAACUAAGAACAAUACACCACUCAAGACAAAACAAUGUACUAAAAGAGAACUAGUUCUACGGUCACAGGAUCGCAAGAAACACUAAUAACGAAACCAUCAUAAUAAAUAAAUGACAUCAAGAGAUUUAUAUUACAUAAAAGAAACAACUACAAGCUUGAUUUAUUUUAGUUAAAUAAAACCAUAGAAAAUUUACUAGAUAAAUUAUAUUUAAACUUUAAAAAGUGAAAGUUAAUUAAUCAUGUUUUAUUUGUAAAUAUUAAUGUGUAGUUCAUUUAUCAAGUUAAAGUAGACAAGUGACAGCACGUGGAACAAGUUUACACUAACCAAAUUCAAUUUAAAAACAUAUUUAUGUUGCUAAUAUCCAAAUUUACAGUUAGAUAUAAAAGCUCGACAUUGUACUAUAUUGCUUUUGUUUAGCAACUAAUUUCAUGCACAUUGAUCCAAAAUGUUUAACUGUAAACACAAAAACUCGUGGCCUGCUAAACGUACUGUAUAUUACAUCAAUAUAAUAUUAAUCAACAAAAAUAGACUAGCAUAACUAAAACGUCCGUACGAUAAGGGUUAAAGCUGUAGAAACGAGAGUUCACUAGAGAUGUAGAUACCUACUGUGCUUGGUCAUAUCGGACGGUUUCUCGGGCGGGCAUGUCCCAUACGUGAUCUGCUUUGCUGCUUACUUUGCUUGAACUACAGGACAACAAUGCUAUCAUUUACUGAAGAUACGUAGGCACAAAAGCUAGUGACUGUGCUGUAGAGAAUAGAUCAUGUAGGGAUACAAGGAGAUUCUCACCAAGGCUGAAGAUGAACGAACGACAGGCACAAACUUGUUGGAUGAGAACCAAAGAUCGAUCAUGGCAGCCUGGAGCGGCAAGAAGGGCGAUGAUCUGAUGAGGUUCGUGGUGGUUAUAGAGGUCUUUGAUGCGGAUCUAGCGGAUCGAUCGGAAUCAAAGGCUGCUUGACCGUGUCCAUCUUGAUGAAUCCGGCUUCUGGAGAGUGCACCACCGGCGGCUUGGACUUGCUCUUCCCAUGACCAAAGCUAGGAGAUUCAGAAGUCUAGAUUGAUCUAUGGCCUUUACGGACCACCAUCAGUUUGCCCAAAGCUAAGAUUAUUGUUGAUGGCAGCGGCACUUAUGAUCAGCAGGGCCCUAGGG